UGCAUGUCUUUUUGUUCUUUUUUUGAACCAAGAGAGAAUUUAGGAGACCAUUACUCUUUGACUGAUCUCUUGUUGGAUCCUUACUGAAAUUGGGCACCAGCAAUUUAAUUGGUGGUGAUCUAGUUAUUAUUAAGUAAUGUGCCAUGUUUUUGGAUCCCUGACAAUUUCAUAGAGCUUGAACCGUUUAAAGAAUAUGCAUUUAGAACUGGUAAUUCACAAUUUUGAUG